rnacentral:sRNA from 1 species
GUAGAGUGUUGACCUUUUCUGACUUUGUAUCAUCCGUAAAGGACAUAUUCAAAAACGCAAACGAUGAUGAAAUUGACGAAGAUGCUGACGCAGAUGAU